AGCGUGUUCACCACUUAGGAUUAAAACUGGACGUUCAACCAACAUGUACUGUGAAUCAAGCUGAGUAUUUUUAUGCGUGACGUUCUUGCCUUGUGGUAAAUUUUGAUGGACACAAGUGAAGGUCAUGUUGAUAACGAUCGUAUUUCUCAAAUUGAUCAUUUUUUCAACGUACAUCAAAGGAACGCCUAUAUUCGUACGCUGGACGUAUCUAUUUUUUAUCAUGCCUGACGCAUUUCAGUCCAGUGUGUUUUAAUCGAUAAUCCAGGCAUAUGCCAUAUUGAUUUAAAAAGAAGUAUAUAGCAAACAUGUACAAGAAUGUAGGUAUAAUAUUUCCAUAUGAUCUCAAUAACGCACAAGAUUAAUAAGUGGGUAAUGUGCAAUUAUAAUGAAACCUACGAGUAUUUUGAAGUCAUUUUUGAUAAGCCUUAACAAUCAAUGGUACAACAAUUUUUUAUGA